CAGUCGCCGCGGUAAUACGGAGGGUGCAAGCGUUAUCCGGAUUCACUGGGUUUAAAGGGUGCGUAGGUGGGCAGGUAAGUCAGUGGUGAAAUCUCCGGGCUUAACCCGGAAACUGCCGUUGAUACUAUCUGUCUUGAAUAUAGUGGAGGUGAGCGGAAUAUGUCAUGUAGCGGUGAAAUGCUUAGAUAUGACAUAGAACACCCAUUGCGAAGGCAGCUCGCUACACUAUUAUUGACACUGAGGCACGAAAGCGUGGGGAUCAAACAGGAUUAGAUACCCCCGUAGUCCCUGUCUCUUAUAA
rnacentral:rRNA from 1 species